AUGCUAGACUUGGAAGCUGAACGUGCGUUAGAAUUGAUUCGUAACAUAGCUGCAGUAAAACCGAUGAAUGAGUCGGAGAUUGACAAGCUAGGGGUUAGGGUUCUUGAUAGCUUGUGUGCUGAUCUUGAUCCUGCGGUCCAGGUGACGGAGGAGGAGGAUGAGUAUACCUCUCCGGUAACCACAAACCUAGAGGUGGUGCCUGUGGCCGUAGAGCCUCUUUCCGAGUGUGUUGAAUCUAUUGAUGGUGGGGUUAAGCCUAAGAGGACCUGGAAACGUAAGGUUUAUCCGGUGUCGGCUGUGCGUAGAAGUGCUAGGAUCCGUACCUCCAAAAAAUUUCAUGAUGAAUUAUGA
rnacentral:rRNA from 1 species